AAAGUGUUAUUUGGCUGCAAUGAGGUCUCAUGACUGUUUAUGUGGUGGCUCGCUGCUCAGGACAUGGAGGAAGAGGGUAAUCUGGAAGAGUUUCCUGACCUACUCUGCUGCUGUGAUUAAACAACCACCAGGAAAUUUUGAUGACACUGUUCUCCUGAGCUCCUCCCUUUCCUUGGGGAAGAAAAGCAUUGAAACUACAAAAAUAAAGUGUUAUUUGGCUGGAGUGAGGUCUCAUGGCUGUUUAUGCGGUGGCUCGCUGCUCAGGACAUGGAAUCAUUGGAGAUACUCAUUACUCUUUGAAGGCUUACAGUGGAAUGAAUUCAAAUACAACUUAUUUGAGGAAUUGAAGUUGACUUUAUGGAGCUGAUAAGAAUCUUCUUGGAAAAAAAAAGACUGGGUAUAUUUUCAAUAUGCUUUCCUUUUAAGGUCCCUCACCUGUGGAAAGUAAAGAAUGUCACUUUCUGACAGGCUCAGGAACCUCAAGUUAUGUAGGGAUCUCAAGAAGAUGGGGGAAUUCACCCAGUUCAUACAGGUGAAAUUGCUGUUGCGAAGAUUAUGAAUAUGAGAGAAGUCCAGCAUGGCUGACUUCAUCUCGUGUCUGGCCUCAGGCUGGCUGCCCUUGCUCACUCUUGGGCAUAGGCCAAGCUAGCCAUGGGAGGAAUUUAGUUUAUAGUUUAACUUUGAAGCACGGAUGACAAUAGUCUCUCCCUAAAAUGAACCCCUUCCUUGCUCAGGGACUGAAACUACCUUUGUAUGACAAAUGAAAGCCCACAAGAUUAAGAUUAUGAGAGGGGCCUGAAUUCUGCUAAAAUGCAGGUGUAGCUGACUGAUAACAAGUCAUUGUCCCACAGCUUGCCUUUCUAUAAUCUCUUGCUUCUCAGGAGUCACAUGGCCAGAGGUCCUGAGAUUUCCAGUCCUGUGACCCCCACCCAGAGAUGGACUUAAUGCAUGAGGACCAUUUUCCACACCCCUAUGAUUUCAUCCUCAAACAAUCAGCAGCAACCAUUCCCUAGCCCCCUGCCUGCCAAAUUAUCCAUAAAAAUCCUAGCCUCUGAGUUAUUA
rnacentral:lncRNA from 1 species